rnacentral:lncRNA from 1 species
GGAGAAUUCUUUAUGUUGAAUUGACAUCUGUUUCUCUACAGUUUGCAGUCACUGGAGCCACACAGAAUAAAAUGUCUAACGCUGCUUCCACAAAUAUUUGAGGACUGCUAACACAUUCCUUCUUCCACUCACUCCACAAGGCUCCUUUCUUCAAACUAAACAUGCCCAGUUAUUUCAAACAGGGAGGCAGUGUGGGACAGAGGAAAGAACGCCAGCUCUGGAGCCAGACACAU